rnacentral:rRNA from 1 species
AAAUUGAAGAGUUUGAUCAUGGCUCAGAUUGAACGCUGGCGGCAGGCCUAACACAUGCAAGUCGAACGGUAACAGGAAGAAGCUUGCUUCUUUGCUGACGAGUGGCGGACGGGUGAGUAAUGUCUGGGAAACUGCCUGAUGGAGGGGGAUAACUACUGGAAACGGUAGCUAAUACCGCAUAACGUCGCAAGACCAAAGANGGGGACCUUCGGGCCUCUUGCCAUCGGAUGUGCCCAGAUGGGAUUAGCUAGUAGGUGGGGUAACGGCUCACCUAGGCGACGAUCCCUAGCUGGUCUGAGAGGAUGACCAGCCACACUGGAACUGAGACACGGUCCAGACUCCUACGGGAGGCAGCAGUGGGGAAUAUUGCACAAUGGGCGCAAGCCUGAUGCAGCCAUGCCGCGUGUAUGAANAAGGCCUUCGGGUUGUAAAGUACUUUCAGCGGGGAGGAAGGGAGUAAAGUUAAUACCUUUGCUCAUUGACGUUACCCGCAGAANAAGCACCGGCUAACUCCGUGCCAGCAGCCGCGGUAAUNCGGAGGGUGCAAGCGUUAAUCGGAAUUACUGGGCGUAAAGCGCACGCAGGCGGUUUGUUAAGUCAGAUGUGAAAUCCCCGGGCUCAACCUGGGAACUGCAUCUGAUACUGGCAAGCUUGAGUCUCGUAGAGGGGGGUAGAAUUCCAGGUGUAGCGGUGAAAUGCGUAGAGAUCUGGAGGAAUACCGGUGGCGAAGGCGGCCCCCUGGACGAAGACUGACGCUCAGGUGCGAAAGCGUGGGGAGCAAACAGGAUUAGAUACCCUGGUAGUCCACGCCGUAAACGAUGUCGACUUGGAGGUUGUGCCCUUGAGGCGUGGCUUCCGGAGCUAACGCGUUAAGUCGACCGCCUGGGGAGUACGGCCGCAAGGUUAAAACUCAAAUGAAUUGACGGGGGCCCGCACAAGCGGUGGAGCAUGUGGUUUAAUUCGAUGCAACGCGAAGAACCUUACCUGGUCUUGACAUCCACAGAACUUUCCAGAGAUGGAUUGGUGCCUUCGGGAACUGUGAGACAGGUGCUGCAUGGCUGUCGUCAGCUCGUGUUGUGAAAUGUUGGGUUAAGUCCCGCAACGAGCGCAACCCUUAUCCUUUGUUGCCAGCGGUCCGGCCGGGAACUCAAAGGAGACUGCCAGUGAUAAACUGGAGGAAGGUGGGGAUGACGUCAAGUCAUCAUGGCCCUUACGACCAGGGCUACACACGUGCUACAAUGGCGCAUACAAAGAGAAGCGACCUCGCGAGAGCAAGCGGACCUCAUAAAGUGCGUCGUAGUCCGGAUUGGAGUCUGCAACUCGACUCCAUGAAGUCGGAAUCGCUAGUAAUCGUGGAUCAGAAUGCCACGGUGAAUACGUUCCCGGGCCUUGUACACACCGCCCGUCACACCAUGGGAGUGAGUUGCAAAAGAAGUAGGUAGCUUAACCUUCGGGAGGGCGCUUACCACUUUGUGAUUCAUGACUGGGGUGAAGUCGUAACAAGGUAACCGUAGGGGAACCUGCGGUUGGAUCACCUCCUUA